GCCGUAAUAGUAUAGUGGUUAGUACUCCUCGUUGUGGCUUCCAAGCUCAUUCGAACUUGGGUCAUAUGGGACCGAGGUGACCCAUGUUCGAUUCAUGGUUGCGGCA